rnacentral:siRNA from 1 species
AAGCAAAGUAGAUGGACAUUUAUA